GGGUUGUGAGGUUAAGCGACUAAGCGUACACGGUGGAUGCCCUGGCAGUCAGAGGCGAUGAAGGACGUGCUAAUCUGCGAUAAGCGUCGGUAAGGUGAUAUGAACCGUUAUAACCGGCGAUUUCCGAAUGGGGAAACCCAGUGUGUUUCGACACACUAUCAUUAACUGAAUCCAUAGGUUAAUGAGGCGAACCGGGGGAACUGAAACAUCUAAGUACCCCGAGGAAAAGAAAUCAACCGAGAUUCCCCCAGUAGCGGCGAGCGAACGGGGAGCAGCCCAGAGCCUGAAUCAGUGUGUGUGUUAGUGGAAGCGUCUGGAAAGGCGCGCGAUACAGGGUGACAGCCCCGUACACAAAAAUGCACAUGCUGUGAGCUCGAUGAGUAGGGCGGGACACGUGGUAUCCUGUCUGAAUAUGGGGGACCAUCCUCCAAGGCUAAAUACUCCUGACUGACCGAUAGUGAACCAGUACCGUGAGGGAAAGGCGAAAAGAACCCCGGCGAGGGGAGUGAAAAAGAACCUGAAACCGUGUACGUACAAGCAGUGGGAGCACGCUUAGGCGUGUGACUGCGUACCUUUUGUAUAAUGGGUCAGCGACUUAUAUUCUGUAGCAAGGUUAACCGAAUAGGGGAGCCGAAGGGAAACCGAGUCUUAACUGGGCGUUAAGUUGCAGGGUAUAGACCCGAAACCCGGUGAUCUAGCCAUGGGCAGGUUGAAGGUUGGGUAACACUAACUGGAGGACCGAACCGACUAAUGUUGAAAAAUUAGCGGAUGACUUGUGGCUGGGGGUGAAAGGCCAAUCAAACCGGGAGAUAGCUGGUUCUCCCCGAAAGCUAUUUAGGUAGCGCCUCGUGAAUUCAUCUCCGGGGGUAGAGCACUGUUUCGGCAAGGGGGUCAUCCCGACUUACCAACCCGAUGCAAACUGCGAAUACCGGAGAAUGUUAUCACGGGAGACACACGGCGGGUGCUAACGUCCGUCGUGAAGAGGGAAACAACCCAGACCGCCAGCUAAGGUCCCAAAGUCAUGGUUAAGUGGGAAACGAUGUGGGAAGGCCCAGACAGCCAGGAUGUUGGCUUAGAAGCAGCCAUCAUUUAAAGAAAGCGUAAUAGCUCACUGGUCGAGUCGGCCUGCGCGGAAGAUGUAACGGGGCUAAACCAUGCACCGAAGCUGCGGCAGCGACACUAUGUGUUGUUGGGUAGGGGAGCGUUCUGUAAGCCUGUGAAGGUGUGCUGUGAGGCAUGCUGGAGGUAUCAGAAGUGCGAAUGCUGACAUAAGUAACGAUAAAGCGGGUGAAAAGCCCGCUCGCCGGAAGACCAAGGGUUCCUGUCCAACGUUAAUCGGGGCAGGGUGAGUCGACCCCUAAGGCGAGGCCGAAAGGCGUAGUCGAUGGGAAACAGGUUAAUAUUCCUGUACUUGGUGUUACUGCGAAGGGGGACGGAGAAGGCUAUGUUGGCCGGGCGACGGUUGUCCCGGUUUAAGCGUGUAGGCUGGUUUUCCAGGCAAAUCCGGAAAAUCAAGGCUGAGGCGUGAUGACGAGGCACUACGGUGCUGAAGCAACAAAUGCCCUGCUUCCAGGAAAAGCCUCUAAGCAUCAGGUAACAUCAAAUCGUACCCCAAACCGACACAGGUGGUCAGGUAGAGAAUACCAAGGCGCUUGAGAGAACUCGGGUGAAGGAACUAGGCAAAAUGGUGCCGUAACUUCGGGAGAAGGCACGCUGAUAUGUAGGUGAAGUCCCUCGCGGAUGGAGCUGAAAUCAGUCGAAGAUACCAGCUGGCUGCAACUGUUUAUUAAAAACACAGCACUGUGCAAACACGAAAGUGGACGUAUACGGUGUGACGCCUGCCCGGUGCCGGAAGGUUAAUUGAUGGGGUUAGCCGCAAGGCGAAGCUCUUGAUCGAAGCCCCGGUAAACGGCGGCCGUAACUAUAACGGUCCUAAGGUAGCGAAAUUCCUUGUCGGGUAAGUUCCGACCUGCACGAAUGGCGUAAUGAUGGCCAGGCUGUCUCCACCCGAGACUCAGUGAAAUUGAACUCGCUGUGAAGAUGCAGUGUACCCGCGGCAAGACGGAAAGACCCCGUGAACCUUUACUAUAGCUUGACACUGAACAUUGAGCCUUGAUGUGUAGGAUAGGUGGGAGGCUUUGAAGUGUGGACGCCAGUCUGCAUGGAGCCGACCUUGAAAUACCACCCUUUAAUGUUUGAUGUUCUAACGUUGACCCGUAAUCCGGGUUGCGGACAGUGUCUGGUGGGUAGUUUGACUGGGGCGGUCUCCUCCUAAAGAGUAACGGAGGAGCACGAAGGUUGGCUAAUCCUGGUCGGACAUCAGGAGGUUAGUGCAAUGGCAUAAGCCAGCUUGACUGCGAGCGUGACGGCGCGAGCAGGUGCGAAAGCAGGUCAUAGUGAUCCGGUGGUUCUGAAUGGAAGGGCCAUCGCUCAACGGAUAAAAGGUACUCCGGGGAUAACAGGCUGAUACCGCCCAAGAGUUCAUAUCGACGGCGGUGUUUGGCACCUCGAUGUCGGCUCAUCACAUCCUGGGGCUGAAGUAGGUCCCAAGGGUAUGGCUGUUCGCCAUUUAAAGUGGUACGCGAGCUGGGUUUAGAACGUCGUGAGACAGUUCGGUCCCUAUCUGCCGUGGGCGCUGGAGAACUGAGGGGGGCUGCUCCUAGUACGAGAGGACCGGAGUGGACGCAUCACUGGUGUUCGGGUUGUCAUGCCAAUGGCACUGCCCGGUAGCUAAAUGCGGAAGAGAUAAGUGCUGAAAGCAUCUAAGCACGAAACUUGCCCCGAGAUGAGUUCUCCCUGACUCCUUGAGAGUCCUGAAGGAACGUUGAAGACGACGACGUUGAUAGGCCGGGUGUGUAAGCGCAGCGAUGCGUUGAGCUAACCGGUACUAAUGAACCGUGAGGCUUAACCUUACAACGCCGAAGGUGUUU
rnacentral:rRNA from 1 species